rnacentral:lncRNA from 1 species
AUGUUGAUAACUUAUGUUUUAGCAGCUGCUGAGAAAUGCUGUAAGAAGACAAGGACAUAUAGAUUUCUCAGCUUCUUGUACUAUACUGCCAACAAAGGGGCAAAAUUAUGGAAGGAGAAGGUCAUCCUGAAGUACCCUGAACUUCAGAUUACUGGAGGCUGUGAGGGAAUAUCAAACAGAGUAGUGACAAGCAGACUGUGGAGUUCUUUUUCCACUGUGCAUCCAUAUCAUGCCCUCAAGUAUCACCAAAAUUCCUUUGAGUCAAUGAAGGAAUCACAUCUGUCUUUAGAAGAGGGACAUGUUCCAUCAUUCAUAUUCUGUCCUUCAGUGGGGAGCUGUGUGGUGCUGAGCUGUCUGCUGAGUUAAUUCACAACACUGAACAUUCCUGUUAGACAAUCACAAACACUUGAUCCUCAGAUUUUAAUGGAAACUAUGCACAAAAUGGCCAGCAAAGUAAAAUCCAUUGCUGUUGAAAUAAAUACUAGAAAAUGACUAAAAAUAUUCUGCUU